rnacentral:tRNA from 1 species
GGCAUGAUGGCUGAGUGGUAAAGUGUUUGGCUUCUGAACCAGAGGUGCCCGGUUUCGAAUCCUGGUGAAGACC